rnacentral:rRNA from 1 species
UACGUAGGGUGCGAGCGUUGUCCGGAAUUAUUGGGCGUAAAGAGCUCGUAGGCGGUUUGUCGCGUCGACUGUGAAAACCCGAGGCUUAACCUCGGGCCUGCAGUCGAUACGGGCAGACUAGAGUUCGGUAGGGGAGACUGGAAUUCCUGGUGUAGCGGUGAAAUGCGCAGAUAUCAGGAGGAACACCGGUGGCGAAGGCGGGUCUCUGGGCCGAUACUGACGCUGAGGAGCGAAAGCGUGGGGAGCGGACAGG